rnacentral:lncRNA from 1 species
GAGGGAUGGCGCCGGCGCAGGCCUGCGCGCCACGCGCUUUAGGUGGAUGAGGGAUGGCGCAGGUGCAGGCCUGCGCGCCUCACGCUUUAUGUACAUGAGGGAUGAGGCAGCACAGGAAUUGGCACAACCUGAAGUCAGCUCUGCAGCUUUCCAAGCUUCGUUCUGCGUGUCCUGUACUCAACAGUCAUCUCAUGCUGCAGGGUGGCUGCGUGUGCUCCGUACAUCACACCCAUAUUUCAGGUAGGGACGGUUCCCGGAGGGUGCUCAGCACCAUGCCGACUACUGCUGGCUGGCACGUUCGCACGUGGCCAUGUCAGCUCCAAGGAGGAUGCUGACAUCCUGCUGGCUGGCACGUUCGCACGUGUCCAUGUUAGCUGCGAGGGCCAUGCCGACAUCCUGCUGGCUGGCACUUCCACAGGUAGCCAUGUUAGCUGAGAGGGCGAUGCCAACAUCUUGCUGGCUGGCACGUUUGCACGCGGCCAUGUUAGCUGCGAGGACAAUGCUUCUGCAACUUUUGGUUUCUUCCCUUUCAUCCUCCCACCCCUGACCGUUUUUGCCUGGGAGCAAGUGCCUAAUAAAUUACCUGCACUCAAAUCUUUGGCUCAGAGACUUUCCGAGAGAACCCAAGCUGAGGCAGACAAUGAAAUCAACACUACCAGCCACUUAGCUGCCAGCUGGGUGGAGAGUGGGCUGCUCUUCCAAGACGCUUUUCAGCCUCUGAAGGCUCAUUUCCAGAAGGUCCUGUCUAUCUGGGCUACUUGCUUCCAGAGCAGUUGCAUCUGGCUGGAUAGCUAAUGAGCGAUAAGGCCUGCAAACCUCAAGCCACAUCUUUAAAGAUGAGGGCCCUGAUGUUCCACAGUGUGCGACGUUACUGGGGUCCAGCCAGUUAUGUUCUGGGAGCUGCCUGAAUGAAAAUCAAUUUGUUAUUUUAGUUGGUUGGCUUGUUUAAAAAAAAAUUAAAUAACAAGAAAUAAGAAAAAACGUGCAAUGGCUUUGAGGUAGAACAGAAAAUCCAGUGAGCCCUCUCUGUGCCUCUGGCAGAAGAAACUGUGAAGAUUUGCAUUUAGAAAAACGCCUCCUCAACUUUGGCGGCACCUGAUGGUUCAUGGUUCCUAAAAUUAGAAAAUGCUAGAGCCUUGGUUCUUUUUUUUUUUUUUUUGACGGAGUCUCACUCUGUCACCAGGCUGGAGUGCAGUGGUGUGAUCUUGGCUCACUGCAACCUCCACCUCCUGGAUUCAAGUGAUUCUCCUGCCUCAGCCUCCCGAGUAGCUGGGACUACAGGCGCCCGCCACCAUGCCUGGCUGAUUUUUGCAUUUUUAGUAGAGAUGGGGUUUCACCAUGUUGGCCAGGAUGGUCUCGAUCUCUUGACCUCGUGAUCCACCCGCCUUGGCCUCCCAAAGUGCUGGGAUUACAGGCGUGAGCCACUGCGGGAGCCUUGCUUCUAUGCGAGUAUUUCGGAGACAAUUAGACAAACAUCCCACAGCCCCAUUUUGAAGCCUGGCAUUGUGUUGGCUGCAGUGAAUUCUGGGGGUGGAGGUGGCUGGAGGGAAAGAGUUGGGAGUCUUGUUUUGUUUUGUGUUUCCUGGAGAGUUUUGGGUUCUGCGGGAUAAUAUGUGCUUGCAGGUGCAGCAGGAGUAGCAUUCUCAUUUCUCACGGCAGUUCAGUCCCUGAGCAGACGGGAGAGGUGAAAUAGAAACACACAUUACAGAAGGGACAUGCUUUCUUAAGGGCACGGGGACCGUGACACAUUGCUUUGAUGAACGGUGAUGGAGUCACACAUGGGGAAAUUCAACAUGGACACACCAGUCUCGCUAUGGAGACAUCUGUGUUGUAUGGGAGCUAAUGGCUUUGAAUGAGCCCAUAUUCAUUUUUCUAGCAGUUUUGAUACUAACAUAAAGAGAGAAUGUGUGUGGACAGAGGAGGCUGUCCUGCACGGACUCUGGGUGUACUUUGUGCCAGUGACAUUUUGUUCCAGAGUGAUUUUGCUUGUUCCAGUUUUUCUGAAAGGAAAGCUUCCCCACAGUUUUGGGGACUGCUGUUUGUCUCAUGCCACAUGUGAGGAUUUGUGGGGUCCACAGUCUGCGACUGUGCUGUCCAGCAUCGAUUCCAUUCACACUGGUUCUUACUUUCAAAGUCUAUUCUGUUACAGGGAGAAGACUGCACAUAUAACACAGCUCUGCAUGGAAAACCUUCCGCCUGGAGGGGUGGCUUCCUAGAGGUGUGGCGUUGCCCUCUGUCUUGAACAGGCUGCACUUUCCAGGGCACAUCACGUGGGUGUGCGGUCUGGCUGCUGGGUCCACGCGGGUUCUCAAUCAUGACCUGGCUUGCAAGCUCUUUCCACAGUUGGAUAAAUGAAGCCGUUGGGGAAGUAUCCGCAAACUCUUACAGUGAGUAUGUGAUAAUGACACACGCGUGGCCCUUCUAAGACCUCCGCUAGGCAUUAUCAGUGACUGUGCUCGUGAGCGCUGACCUCCGCUAGGCGUUAUCAGGGACUGUGCUCGUGAGCGCCGACCUCCGCUAGGCGUUAUCAGGGACUGUGCUCGUGAGCGCGGACCUCCGCUAGGCGAUAUCAGGGACUGUGCUCAUGAGGGCGGACUUUCACCAGCCACGCUUCCGAGGAGUGGAGUCUUUCUCAGCUCUGCCUCUCCAAGAUGACCAUCUUGUGAAGACGAUGCGUUCUUUAUACACAAGUUCUGUGUGUGUGUGUGUGUGUUCCACACACAGGACCAAAGUUGAGAUAGGCGCACAUUUUCUUGGUCCCACUUGUGGCCCCAGUCGGCUGUCAGAAGUGGGUGUGCUCCACAUGUACCCACCAUGUCAGGGCACAGUGCUCACAUUUCACACCUCAGCAGGUGCCUUGAUGUUGACCAGAGGCCCCAAAAUCAUCUCUUUCUAUGACUUCUAGAUCUUAGAUUCCCAGGAACUGGGAAAUGCAGUCAGUAUCUUUUGGGUCCAAGAAACUUUGUCAGAGCCCUUGUGGGAGAACCAUAGAUUCUCACCAGAUAAACAGAAGAGCUUCGUGUUAGAGAAACCCGCCUGUCUCCCCACAUUCUCAGUUUUCUGGAGAGCAGCUGAAAGCCAUCUGGGUGGAGAUUAAGAGCUCCAACCGUGUAGCUUUGAUGUAUCGGGCAAGUUGCUUAAGCUCUUUAAUGCUGUUUCCUCAUUUAUUGUGUGAGGCCAAAAAUACCCAUUCCUUAAAGUUGUGAGGAUUAAAAACAGUAAUGAAAAGUGAGUGGCAAGUGCCGAGUACACAGUCAAGUACCUGAUACUUUUUAGUGUAAGGUAAGUAGCAAGAAAGCAUGAAAUUUAUUUUCAUUUACUCUUACUACAUGUGGUAAACCAUCUAUGCACAGAGCACUGCAUUGGGUGCCAUGAAUGACAGAAUAAGAGUACCAGGUGCAUGAAAAGCUUAAAAGACAAAUGAGACAGAGCUAGGCUGCAGAAGACUUAAAAAGUUGAUGUAUUUAACUUUUAAUGGACACACUGUACAUGUUUAUGGGGUACGAUUUGUUGUUUCCAUGCAUAUCUGUGUUGUGUAAUGAUCCAAUCAGGGUAGUGUGUGUGCCCAUUUCCUCAAGGGUGGAUCAUUAUGUGUAUCAUCGUGCAUCAUCAUGUAUCAUGCAUGUACCAUCAUCAUGCAUCAUUGUGCAUCAUCAUGCCUGUAUCAUUAUGUAUCACCUCAUGCAUAUAUUAUAAUGUAUCACCUCAUGCGUGUAUUAUCAUGUAUCACCAUGCAUGUAUUGUGCAUGUGCCAUCAUCAUGCAUCAUUGUGCAUCAUCAUGCCUGUAUCAUUAAUCACCUCAUGCAUAUAUUAUAAUGUGUCACCUCAUGCGUGUUUUAUCAUGUAUCACCAUGCAUGUAUUGUGCAUGUACCAUCAUCAUGCAUCAUUGUGCAUCAUCAUGUCUGUAUCAUUAAUCACCUCAUGCAUAUAUUAUAAUGUGUCACCUCAUGCGUGUAUUAUCAUGUAUCACCAUGCAUGUAUUGUGCAUGUACCAUCAUCAUGCAUCAUUAGGCAUCAUUGUGCAUGUAUCAUCACCUCAUGCAUGUAUUAUGUAUCACCUCAUGCAUGUAUCAUGCAUGUACCAUCAUCAUGUAUCAUUAUGCAUCAUUGUGCAUGUAUCACUGUGUAUCAUGCAUGUGUCAUCAUGCAUCGCCCCAUGCGUGUAUCAUUUCUUUGUGGUGAGAACACUCAGAAGCCUCUCAUCUCGCUAUCUUGUCAUAUAUGCUAUUUUAUUGUUAACCAAAGUCAGCCUAUUGUGCAGUAGAACAAUCUCUCCUCAUCCCCUGUCCUCAUCCUCCCCUCCCAAGCUUCCAUAACCACUGUUUACUCUCUGCUCCUAGGAGAUCAACUUAAAAUUUUGUGUUAUUUUUGGAUUUCACAUACAAGAAAUCCAUACAAGAGCUCCAUAUGAGAUCGCUCAGUACCUGUUUCUCUGUACCUGGCUUAUUUCGCUUAACAUGAUGUCCAAGCUCAUCCAUAUUGUCACAGAUGCUGGGAUAUCAUUUUUUUCAUGGGAGAAUGGUAUUCCAUUGUGUAUCUACACCACAUUUUCUUUAUUCAUUCUCCGUUGUUGGGCACCAAGGGCGAUUCCAUACCUUGGUGAUUAUGAACAGUGCUGCGAUAAGUGUGGGGGUGCCGAUGUCUCCUCAACCCAUGGAUUUCCUGUCACCUGGGUCUUUACCCAGCAAUGGGUUGCUGAGUCCCAUGGUAGUUCUAUUUGUGUUUUUUUGAGGAACCUCUCUGCUGUUUUCCUGAGUGGCUGUAGAGAGCUAUAGAACUUUAGGUCUGUGAGAGAUAAGUCCUCCAGUACACAUGCCAUUUUCAGAAGGGCAAACUGUAGCCCAGGAAGGUCAGGUGCCUUGACCAAGGCAGGCACAGUGAGAAAGAGGCAGUGUUAGGACCGCAACUGAUUUUCCUCUCCAGUCUCUUUUGUGAAGAUUGGAUGCUAAGGUCAUAUAGGAAGCACUAUGGAAUAUGUAGGAGGUGCUCAGUCUGUUUUGUGAAGAUUGUAUGCCAAGGUCAUAUGGGAAGCACUAUGCAUUAUGUAGUAGGUGCUGUGUGCCAUACAUUAAGAUUACAUUGUAAAUAGCAGGCACUAUGUAUUGUAUAUUAGCAUGAUGCACUGGGUCCUGUUGUCUGGGAGCCUGGCACCUGGCAGCUUCAAAGAACUUACAAGGUCCACAGGAAGGAACCUGGGACAGCCCAGGGAGCAUCACUGAAAGAAUUGGCCUGGAACAGAAGCCCCACAGCUCACCUGGGGGGAGCAGGGGGAGGAUAGGGGUGAGGAGGGAGAGGACCAGGGGAGCAGCGGGAGGACCAGGGGUGCAGGACGAGCACUGGGGGUGCACGGGAGAGCAGGGUGCAAGGACCUUGCUGGCUGAGAAGACAGCGGGAAUGGCGGGUCCUGGGAGAGGGGAGGAGGGGAGGCAGGCCACCAGCCACCCUGACUUCAGCCAGGAGACCCAUUUCAGAGGCUCAAAGGGUGGAGAUGGUGCAGCCAUAGUGGGAAGCUGAGCCCCAUGCUGGAUGCUCAGAUUGAGGGGGCUCCUGAGGGGCUGCGUUCCUCUCUCCAGGGGCCGUGGGACGGUGGCUGCUCAUCUCACAGGUAUUUAUUGGGUUUUUCACCACCUGCCAGGACUUUGCUGCCCACGUCACACAUUUCAUGUAACCUGUAGGUGUAGAGGCCUCAUUUUCAGACAAAGAUGAACUAAGAAAGUGUCUUCUCGGAGGUCACGGCUGGAGCCAGAUGGUCAGGCUCAGGCUGGGGCUGGCUUCCCUCGAUGUGAUGCACGGCUCCCAUGUCACGUUUCCCUGACUAUCAGGAGCUCCCAGAGGCCAAGGAUGGGGUGGCCGCCUGGACAAUUCAGACCUAAGGAAGGGCUCCUGGCCUCUUCCCUGAGAGCCUCUAAGCUGACUGCUCUCUUCCUGCUCAGCAGCUCAUGAUCCCCGGUGGCUUCCUUGAGCUGGGACUUGACUGAAACCCCUGGGACUGGCCCUCCAGCCACCCUGACUUCAGGGGGUCGAGGUGCUCACUGGGCCAGUGCUCAGGAGGCUCCGUGCCAGCUGGAACACCGGGAAACCCUCUAUCUGAAUCUUUGACCCAGGGAGGAGCCUGGAGAGGUGACGUCCCGGCAGGCCUCUCCCGCAAAACCCAGAAUCAGAAGUGGCCACACCAGGUCCGGCACCCACGGCAGCAGCAGGAGCCAUUUCUGGGACAACUUUGGGGAUAUACUUGUCCUUCCAAGUGAAAGGAGCUUAAAAAGACCCCUGAGCAGGAGAGAAAAAGUAUCUUCAAAGAGAACUCCCUUCAUCUUGAAGAAAGUGUCUGCGCUAGCCUCUUGGCCAUUGCGCCGCAGUAGAAUCUUAGGCUCCGUCACUCCUGUGACUUAAUUCAAUUGGCAUCGGUAUUUUGAAAAUAAUGAUUUUUCCUAAUUGUAAAUGUGAAAUGUAUUAUAGAAACGUCGUCCACAAGCCUCUCACUCAGAGAGAGACACCGAUAACUGUUUCUUUCCAUGGAGUACAUUCCACCGUCCCGUUUUCCCACCACACCGCGUGGCCUGACGCUUUCCUCUGUCAUGAACGGCUCUGAUACAACGUGAGAUGAAAUUCCAUCUCAGACAUGCACUGUGAUCACUCACCCCUCACUCCUCAAUGCCUGUGUGUCAUUGAGCACCUCACCUGUGCUAUAUAUUUCUCUUUAGGGUCACAAAAGAAUUGCUCUGUAAUCUCUGUGGGCAAGGAGAUUUCUCCCGAGUUUGAUUGGUUUUUCUGUUUUCUUAGGAUAGAAAUUUUUCUAGCAGUCAUUGGUCUAUUGAAAACACAAAUAAGCUUCACUUCAUACACUAGAAAACUUCAUAAUAUAAGGUUUAUAUUUGCCAUGAGAGGAAACAAAAUGUUGUCUUAAAUGCAUUCACGUACCCUAAGAAAAAUGGUAUGAAACGGUCAAGGAAAAGUUCCUUCUGAUAGUAAAAAAUUCACCCCCUUAUUAAACCAACAAUGAAGUUGCACUAGAUUAGAGUUUAGUUCCGAAACUCUGUGCUUUUAGAUAUUUGGUCCGUUAGGAUUUCCUGGUGGGGGGCACACGCGCGUAAGUCUCUUGAUGGUGGGGCUCUGGUUCUCUGGCCGAGACCACAGAUGUGUCUCCAGGCAGGUACUUCCUCUGCAAGUGUCUGAUGACCACAGUGAGGUGGGUGUGUUGAUAAUAAUCUACUGUCAUAGACACCUUACCUUAUUAAUACUGCUAAACCAGGAAGGGCACAAUUGAUAUUCUCAGGUUUUUUAAUCCUUUAAGAAGAAAAGAUAAUUAAAAAAAUCUUUUCACUCAAGAAGCAUACGAUAGAAUAUGGUGAUACAGACAAAGGGUAGGCCCACUGAUUCGAAAAUUACAGAUUGAAUCCCUGAGACAAAUAUCUCCCCUGCUUUCAGGUAGAUUACUGUCUACAGGUGGGAUAACCAU